CCUACGGGUGGCAGCAGUGGGGAAUAUUGGACAAUGGGGGAAACCCUGAUCCAGCCAUGCCGCGUGAGUGAAGAAGGCCCUAGGGUUGUAAAGCUCUUUCACCAAGGACGAUGAUGACGGUACUUGGACAAGAAGCCCCGGCUAACUCCGUGCCAGCAGCCGCGGUAAUACGGAGGGGGCUAGCGUUGUUCGGAAUUACUGGGCGUAAAGCGCGCGUAGGCGGUAAUCCAAGUCAGGCGUGAAAGCCCCAGGCUCAACCUGGGAACUGCGUUUGAUACUGGAUAACUAGAGGCCGGGAGAGGGUAGUGGAAUUCCCAGUGUAGAGGUGAAAUUCGUAGAUAUUGGGAAGAACACCGGUGGCGAAGGCGGCUACCUGGACCGGACCUGACGCUGAGGUGCGAAAGCGUGGGGAGCGAACAGGAUUAGAUACCCUUGUAGUC
rnacentral:rRNA from 1 species